rnacentral:rRNA from 1 species
GAUGAACGCUGGCGGCGUGCCUAAUACAUGCAAGUCGAGCGAACAGACGAGGAGCUUGCUCCUCGGACGUUAGCGGCGGACGGGGGAUUAACACGUGUAUAACCUACCUAUAAGACUGGGAUAACUUCGGGAAACCGGAUCUAAUACCGGAUAAUAUAUUGAACCGCAUGGUUCAAUAGUCAAAGACGGUUUUGCUGUCACUUAUAGAUGGAUCCGCGCCGCAUUAGCUAGUUGGUAAGGUAACGGCUUACCAAGGCAACGAUGCGUAGCCGACCUGAGAGGGUGAUCGGCCACACUGGAACUGAGACACGGUCCAGACUCCUACGGGAGGCAGCAGUAGGGAAUAUUCCGCAAUGGGCGAAAGCCUGACGGAGCCACGCCGCGUGAGUGAAGAAGGUCUUCGGGUCGUAAAGCUCUGUUAUUAGGGAAGAACAAAUGUGUAAGUAAAUCUGCACGUCUUGACGGUACCUAAACAAAAAGCACCGGCUAACUACGUG